AGAGUUUGAUCCUGGCUCAGGAUGAACGCUGGCGGCGUGCUUAACACAUGCAAGUCGAACGGGAAACCUUUUAUUGAAGCUUCGGCGGAUUUAGCUGGUUUCUAGUGGCGGACGGGUGAGUAACGCGUGGGUAACCUGCCUUAUACAGGGGGAUAACAGUCAGAAAUGACUGCUAAUACCGCAUAAGCGCACAGAGCUGCAUGGCUCAGUGUGAAAAACUCCGGUGGUAUAAGAUGGACCCGCGUUGGAUUAGCUGGUUGGUGGGGUAACGGCCCACCAAGGCGACGAUCCAUAGCCGGCCUGAGAGGGUGAACGGCCACAUUGGGACUGAGACACGGCCCAGACUCCUACGGGAGGCAGCAGUGGGGAAUAUUGCACAAUGGGGGAAACCCUGAUGCAGCGACGCCGCGUGAAGGAAGAAGUAUCUCGGUAUGUAAACUUCUAUCAGCAGGGAAGAUAAUGACGGUACCUGACUAAGAAGCCCCGGCUAACUACGUGCCAGCAGCCGCGGU
rnacentral:rRNA from 1 species